GACGAACGCUGGCGGCGUGCUUAACACAUGCAAGUCGAACGGAAAGGCCCUGCUUUUGUGGGGUGCUCGAGUGGCGAACGGGUGAGUAACACGUGAGUAACCUGCCCUUGACUUUGGGAUAACUUCAGGAAACUGGGGCUAAUACCGGAUAGGGGCUCCUGCUGCAUGGUGGGGGUUGGAAAGUUUCGGCGGUUGGGGAUGGACUCGCGGCUUAUCAGCUUGUUGGUGGGGUAGUGGCUUACCAAGGCUUUGACGGGUAGCCGGCCUGAGAGGGUGACCGGCCACAUUGGGACUGAGAUACGGCCCAGACUCCUACGGGAGGCAGCAGUGGGGAAUAUUGCACAAUGGGCGGAAGCCUGAUGCAGCAACGCCGCGUGCGGGAUGACGGCCUUCGGGUUGUAAACCGCUUUCGCCUGUGACGAAGCGUGAGUGACGGUAAUGGGUAAAGAAGCACCGGCUAACUACGUGCCAGCAGCCGCGGUGAUACGUAGGGUGCGAGCGUUGUCCGGAUUUAUUGGGCGUAAAGGGCUCGUAGGUGGUUGAUCGCGUCGGAAGUGUAAUCUUGGGGCUUAACCCUGAGCGUGCUUUCGAUACGGGUUGACUUGAGGAAGGUAGGGGAGAAUGGAAUUCCUGGUGGAGCGGUGGAAUGCGCAGAUAUCAGGAGGAACACCAGUGGCGAAGGCGGUUCUCUGGGCCUUUCCUGACGCUGAGGAGCGAAAGCGUGGGGAGCGAACAGGCUUAGAUACCCUGGUAGUCCACGCUGUAAACGGUGGGUACUAGGUGUGGGGUCCAUUCCACGGGUUCCGUGCCGUAGCUAACGCUUUAAGUACCCCGCCUGGGGAGUACGGCCGCAAGGCUAAAACUCAAAGGAAUUGACGGGGCCCCGCACAAGCGGCGGAGCAUGCGGAUUAAUUCGAUGCAACGCGUAGAACCUUACCUGGGUUUGACAUGGAUCGGGAGUGCUCAGAGAUGGGUGUGCCUCUUUUGGGGUCGGUUCACAGGUGGUGCAUGGCUGUCGUCAGCUCGUGUCGUGAGAUGUUGGGUUAAGUCCCGCAACGAGCGCAACCCUUGUUCAGUGUUGCCAGCACGUUAUGGUGGGGACUCAGUGGAGACCGCCGGGGUCAACUCGGAGGAAGGUGGGGAUGACGUCAAGUCAUCAUGCCCCUUAUGUCCAGGGCUUCACGCAUGCUACAAUGGCUGGUACAGAGAGUGGCGAGCCUGUGAGGGUGAGCGAAUCUCGGAAAGCCGGUCUCAGUUCGGAUUGGGGUCUGCAACUCGACCUCAUGAAGUCGGAGUCGCUAGUAAUCGCAGAUCAGCAACGCUGCGGUGAAUACGUUCCCGGGGCU
rnacentral:rRNA from 1 species